UGGCGGCAGGCCUAACACAUGCAAGUCGAACGGUAACAGGAAGAAGCUUGCUUCUUUGCUGACGAGUGGCGGACGGGUGAGUAAUGUCUGGGAAACUGCCUGAUGGAGGGGGAUAACUACUGGAAACGGUAGCUAAUACCGCAUAACGUCGCAAGACCAAAGAGGGGGACCUUCGGGCCUCUUGCCAUCGGAUGUGCCCAGAUGGGAUUAGCUAGUAGGUGGGGUAACGGCUCACCUAGGCGACGAUCCCUAGCUGGUCUGAGAGGAUGACCAGCCACACUGGAACUGAGACACGGUCCAGACUCCUACGGGAGGCAGCAGUGGGGAAUAUUGCACAAUGGGCGCAAGCCUGAUGCAGCCAUGCCGCGUGUAUGAAGAAGGCCUUCGGGUUGUAAAGUACUUUCAGCGGGGAGGAAGGGAGUAAAGUUAAUACCUUUGCUCAUUGACGUUACCCGCAGAAGAAGCACCGGCUAACUCCGUGCCAGCAGCCGCGGUAAUACGGAGGGUGCAAGCGUUAAUCGGAAUUACUGGGCGUAAAGCGCACGCAGGCGGUUUGUUAAGUCAGAUGUGAAAUCCCCGGGCUCAACCUGGGAACUGCAUCUGAUACUGGCAAGCUUGAGUCUCGUAGAGGGGGGUAGAAUUCCAGGUGUAGCGGUGAAAUGCGUAGAGAUCUGGAGGAAUACCGGUGGCGAAGGCGGCCCCCUGGACGAAGACUGACGCUCAGGUGCGAAAGCGUGGGGAGCAAACAAGGGUAGAUACCCUGGUAGUCCACGCCGUAAACGAUGUCGACUUGGAGGUUGUGCCCUUGAGGCGUGGCUUCCGGAGCUAACGCGUUAAGUCGACCGCCUGGGGAGUACGGCCGCAAGGUUAAAACUCAAAUGAAUUGACGGGGGCCCGCACAAGCGGUGGAGCAUGUGGUUUAAUUCGAUGCAACGCGAAGAACCUUACCUGGUCUUGACAUCCACGGAAGUUUUCAGAGAUGAGAAUGUGCCUUCGGGAACCGUGAGACAGGUGCUGCAUGGCUGUCGUCAGCUCGUGUUGUGAAAUGUUGGGUUAAGUCCCGCAACGAGCGCAACCCUUAUCCUUUGUUGCCAGCGGUCCGGCCGGGAACUCAAAGGAGACUGCCAGUGAUAAACUGGAGGAAGGUGGGGAUGACGUCAAGUCAUCAUGGCCCUUACGACCAGGGCUACACACGUGCUACAAUGGCGCAUACAAAGAGAAGCGACCUCGCGAGAGCAAGCGGACCUCAUAAAGUGCGUCGUAGUCCGGAUUGGAGUCUGCAACUCGACUCCAUGAAGUCGGAAUCGCUAGUAAUCGUGGAUCAGAAUGCCACGGUGAAUACGUUCCCGGGCCUUGUACACACCGCCCGUCACACCAUGGGAGUGGGUUGCAAAAGAAGUAGGUAGCUUAACCUUCGGGAGGGCGCUUACCACUUUGUGAUUCAUGACUGGGGUGAAGUC
rnacentral:rRNA from 1 species